CCCCGCUGGCAAUGGGCAAAGAGACACUUCAUUGGUGGUGGUGUUCUUAGAUCAGUCAGGGACAGAGCAGGUGACAGUUCUUGUUCAUCCUAGCUUAAUGCCUGGCUUGGUAGCCAAAGCUAUCCUAUGCCUAGGACUCCUAA